UACGGGGGGGGCAAGCGUUGUUCGGAAUUACUGGGCGUAAAGGGCGCGUAGGCGGUGCUCUAAGUCGGAUGUGAAAACUCUGGGCUCAACCCAGAGCCUGCAUCCGAAACUGGAGUGCUAGAGUUCUGGAGGGGUAGCGGAAUUCCUGGUGUAGCGGUGAAAUGCGUAGAUAUCAGGAGGAACACCGGUGGCGAAGGCGGCUACCUGGACAGAAACUGACGCUGAGGCGCGAAAGCUAGGGGAGCAAACAGG
rnacentral:rRNA from 1 species